AUAGAGGCUGUACCUUUUGGCUAAGAACAAGUGUAGUAUCUGUUCUUAUCAGUUUAAUAAAUAUUAUAUUAUAUAUUUAUAUAUAUAUAGUAUGCAGUUACAUGAUUUUUGUAGAGACAGAGAGGAAAUCUUCUGUCUUUUGAUUCACUCCCCAGUGGCCACAAUAACCAGAGAUGUGUCCAUUCAAA